rnacentral:rRNA from 1 species
UACGUAGGGUGCGAGCGUUAAUCGGAAUUACUGGGCGUAAAGCGUGCGCAGGCGGUUUUGUAAGCCAGAUGUGAAAUCCCCCGGGCUUAACCUGGGAAUGGCAUUUGGGACUGCAAGGCUUGAGUGCGGCAGAGGAGACUGGAAUUCCUGGUGUAGCAGUGAAAUGCGUAGAUAUGCGGAGGAACACCGAUGGCGAAGGCAAUCCCCUGGGCCUGCACUGACGCUCAUGCACGAAAGCGUGGGGAGCGAACAGG